CCUACGGGGCGCAGCAGUGGGGAAUAUUGGGCAAUGGGCGCAAGCCUGACCCCGCAACGCCGCGUGAAGGAAGAAGGCUUUCGGGUUGUAAACUUCUUUUCUGAGGGACGAAGAACGUGCCGGUACCUCAGGACUAAGCCACGGCUAACUACGUGCCAGCAGCCGCGGUAAAACGGAGGUGGCCAGCGUUAUCCGGAUUUAUGGGGUGUAAAGGGCGUGUAGGCGGGAAAGCAAGUCAGAUGUGAAAACUCAGGGCUCAACCCUGAGCCUGCAUUUGAAACUGUUGUUCUUGAGUGCUGGAGAGGCAAUCGGAAUUCCGGGUGUAGCGGUGAAAUGCGUAGAUAUACGGAGGAACACCAGUGGCGAAGGCGGAUUGCUGGACAGUAACUGACGCUGAGUCGCGAAAGCGUGGGGAGCAAACAGGAUUAGAUACCCCUGUAGUC
rnacentral:rRNA from 1 species